AGGAUGAACGCUGGGCGGCGUGCUUAACACAUGCAAGUCGAACGGAGUUUUUAAACGGAAGUUUUCGGAUGGAAGUUUAGAAACUUAGUGGCGGACGGGUGAGUAACGCGUGGGUAACCUGCCUCAUACAGGGGGAUAACAGUUAGAAAUGACUGCUAACACCGCAUAAUAUAGCGAAACCGCAUGAUUUUUGCUAUCAAAUAUUUUAUAGGUAUGAGAUGGGCCCGCGUCUGAUUAGCUAGUUGGUGGGGUAAAGGCCUACCAAGGCGACGAUCAGUAGCCGGCUUGAGAGAGUGACCGGCCACAUUGGGACUGAGACACGGCCCAAACUCCUACGGGAGGCAGCAGUGGGGAAUAUUGGACAAUGGGGGAAACCCUGAUCCAGCCGACGCCGCGUGAGUGAAGAAGUAUUUCGGUAUGUAAAGCUCUAUCAGCAGGGAAGAUAAUGACAGUACCUGACUAAGAAGCCCCGGCUAACUACGUGCCAGCCGCCGC
rnacentral:rRNA from 1 species